AGAUAUUUGGAAGAUGCCUUUGAAGAUCUUUCUUCACAGUGUGGAGAGCUGCGAUGCACCGCGCCUUAAAGAUGGCGCCAGUUUCCACCUUCCACCAUCCCGAGGCAGCUGCUGAUUGUCCCUCCCCGUGGAUCACUAGUGGAACUUCCUGUUUUGUUUUGCUGGUUGUCUUCUUCCCAGCUGCUCCUGUCUCAUGCUGCUGACUCUCUUGCCCCAGUCCUAUGGGCUGGGACAACUGACACCCAACAUGGGGCUCGACAGAGUUGGGGAUCUGGGAACUUCAGAGCUCAUUAGAGGGACAGCCCCAUCCAUACAGUGAGGCAACCUCAUCAAGAUCGAUUGUGAGCCUCGGUCGGAAGAAGACCCAGCAUCCUGCCCAGCACUUGAGACUAUUGGUUCAUGAGCACCACCUAUGUGGAAAAGGUCCGGAUCAAUCCAUUCUACACACCUCCUGAAAAAGACUGCUGACUAUAUAAGCUAGCCUGAGAAAAAUAAAGUUUGCCACUUGAUCAGAA